rnacentral:lncRNA from 10 species
GUUCCACUGCGAAGCGCGGCGCCAGGAAGCGGCCGUCUCUCCGGAGCAGCAGGUACAGGUCCCGAGAGAAGGCCGGGAUCCGCAGCAACACUUCGUCGCCAUCCGGCUCGGCAUGCUGGGCCGGGGGCGGGGACGGGGGCGGCUGCGGGGGAGGCGGCGGCUGCCACGAGGCCGGGGCGCCCGGGGACAAGGCGGCAGCCCCGCUGGAUCCCCGCGGCAGCUCCUGCGACUCGAGCUCCUCGUCCUCCUCACCCUCCGACGGCGGCGGGGGCCGGAGCCGGGACUCUGAUCGGCCCUCCACGGGCUCCUCCAAAGGCACCGGAGCCACAGAGCGCACCUCGCGUGAGCUGCCGGCAGCCUGCGCCCGGGCGCUUCCGCCGCCCCCAACGCCGCGCACCCAGCCCGGGUCCGCGCUGCCCCCGCUGCCGCCAGCCGGGUCCACCGGCUCCCGGCGCCAGAGCGCAGGAAACACGACUUCCCACUCCUCGCGGUCGGGGGCGAACUGCAGCUCUGCGGGCGGGGCAGACAGAAGUGCGGGGCUUAAAGUGCCGCGGUUCCAGUAGCACAAACAUUUCCAAGCUCACAGUCCAUAGAUACAGGGCGCUCGCGUUGAAUGCAAUGGAGACCACCCGUCUAGACCCUGAAACUCUGCAACCCCAGAAGCCUUGCGAUCAGAUUACAGACCCCAGCAUUUUCAGAGUAAAAGUACGAUUAUAUUAGGGGCGGGGGAGGGGGAAUCAAAGUUUGGUGACCGCACUUCAUUGUUGAAAAGAAAACCGAUGCAAAGACUCCAGCACGAGUAAACGAUUUCUGAAGUGUAUGCUAGAGCAGAGCGUUGCUAUCAACUUAGGUACGUUCUAAUUUUCCUCCAGGUGCUGUAAACGUACCUUUGCAAAUAUUAUUGCUCUAAUUAGAAGGAAACUAUUCCACAUACGGUUAAAACGAGGCCGGCAGAAGUGUGCUUCAUUUCCGAACUUGACCCCUUAACCUGCACCUCAAGCUCAUUUUUAUUGCUACCCACUGAGCCCUGCUCUCCACGCACCGGUUGCACCAGCCCUGCCGACCCGUACGUUCGCGGUCUCCGCUGGGAUGGCUGGAAAGGAAGCGAGAAAGUCACGGAAGAACUUACCUGAAACGAUCCCAUUCGACAGGAACCCCAGCUGGUAAAGGAGGCAGCAGCAGCAGAGGAGUUUCCGAGGCCGAGCAGGCUAGUGCUGGAGCCCCACAAGACAGACCCACAGCCAGCCGAGAGCCGGGAGUGCUGCCUCUGGACAGGCAGAGGACUGCCCGGCGCGGGCAGGAGAGCUGUGGUGUCCGAGCCGAGGCUCGCCGCCUGCACCCGCGCGGAACGGGCGGAGGCUGGUGUCACAGUCUCAGCAACUUGGUGUGCCAAGCUCCGCACACUCCUCACGCUCCUUAGGACGCACCGCUGAAGGCUCUCACCCGCAGCGGCGCGGGAGGGAAUGAGUAGGGAGAUGGGAAGACACGACUAGAGAGGUGGGUUGUAGAGCAGAAAAGAAUCAAGCACAUCUGACCAGAAAAAGGGACCAAGGGGUGCCCGCCAAGCGUGACUUUGCGGGACAAAGGUCCCAGAACACCGUGCACGUGCUCAAACGCCGGUUGGGAUGGGGUGGGGACCCAAAAUCCCUCACCUGACUAUUGAUUGGCCACUCGGGAAGGCCUGAUUUGCAUCCAUCCCCUGCCCCCGUGUGCAGGUAGAGGUGCCUCCCCCUUCCCAUCCCACUCCUCAAUCCAGCGCCUCUUUUUGUCAAAUUCGCACAUCACACAAGGCAAAAAUUAGUGCAGACUUGACCACAAAACUGAGGCCUCAUUUAUCAAAGGCCUUUGAUUUGUCUUCCCAUCUUUUUCGGAAUUUUCUAAGCCCGGAGAUAAUGUAAUUCGUCAUGGAAUAUGCUUUAAAGUUUCCCAGGACAGUAGGCACCCUUAGGUUUCAGAGCCUCUUUUCCUUCCUUGUCUUUCUAGCUCCCCAUUCAUCAGUACUAUCAGUUUCUCUCCUUCCCCUACCCCACCCCAUUACACACACACACACACACACACACACACACACACACACACGAGUCCUAAAAGGAGUAAGAGUAAGGGAAUCAACAUUAAACAUUAUAUUCUAAAGAUCUCAGACCAGGUGAGAUUAUUUUGUCUUCUGUACUUUUUACUUGUACAUAAAAAAAUAUGUUUUUGCUGUUUCUGUCCUCUUUGGGGCAAUUCAACCCCAUAUAUUUUUUUUUCCUUUGUUGCAAUUCUCUUCAUGGUACCUACUCCCCUUUCCACAACUCUCCCUCAGCCACAUCAAAGCGUUCACAUCCGAUUUAAGGAUGAUUGAUCUGAACUGCCAUUUGCAUCCUCUGGACUAGGCCAGACACCUAGAAAUGAUAAUUAAUGCAAAUCAGUUUUUUUUUUUUUUAAUUCCAGAACUGAGGUUGGUUCACCACUUCCUUUGUUAUUUUACCUUCUGUUCCUUGUGUCAAAGGUGACUACUAUGCCUUUAAGGGAAGCAGACGAUCUUAUUUCAAAGGAAAGCCAUUGUUUGAAUUAGCUGAGUCCUAUAAUACUUUCUUUGAGUUGUCCAGAGUUUAGAAACAAAGGCAAAAACACUCAAGGUGACUUUGUCAAGAGUGAUCUGCCUCUAAACGCUGUCUUAUAAAAUCUCUAAUGCUGGAGUAACUAACAUGUGGGUUUCCAGAUGCUCAAGAAAUAUCUGGGUUACUUAGAAACCUAAAUGCUUUUUUUCAUGAGACUCAAUUUUACAGAUUUAAAGCUAGGCAAAAAAUCAGAGGCAGUUUAUUUUUUGAGUAUAGCAAGCUAUUUAGAUUGAAAGCUAAUUUCAAUGAAACACCUCCAGUAGGAGAUGAGUCUUAACACGUUUCUCACACAUAUUUUAACAACAACAACAAAAAGCAGAACUGAAGGAAUAAUGCAUAUUAAAUUGUAUAUAUUUAUUAGAGUACAUUCAUGAUUUUUUAAAACCAAAUGAGUUGUAUAACUAAGUUAAAUAUACUCAGAAGCACAGCUUACCAAUGUAAGUUUGCAUUGCUGCCUUUUUUUCCCACUAAUAUAUAAUCUUUACCAAUCCUUCAUGGUAAAGGUUAAUAUUGUUAUGGAAAGAUUUGUCUAAUUCCCAGAUAACUCUUCUCUUUUUUCCCUUUUGAAAUACUGUUAUAAUUUAUUUACAUAUUUUAGAGACAUUUAUAAGUCAUUUGGGUUUUAAUGACUUAUGUACUUAUUUCUCCUACUAGACUAUCAAUGUUUUUGAAAGGUAGGAAUGAUUUCUUUUAUAUAUCACCCUGACUAAUUCAAGGAUUUACACUGAAUAGGUUCAGAAAUUAUCAGGAAAUUCUCUCCAAGGUGCUUUAGAAAGUGAUAGAAAUUGAUUUGUCUAUGGUAUUUUGUUCCAAUUUGAAUUCCUUGAUCAGGAGUUGCAACACUAACUCUGCUGGUGAUUAGCAACUAUCAACAUGACUUAUCUGGUUUACAGAAGGAACAGGCCUAAGAGAGAAAUGUGUGGGGAAUUUUUGUGCUCUAGGAGAGACUUAGAUAUGCAAGUGAGAGCGUCCGUUAAAGUGAAUUCAAGUACCUAUGUAUAUAAAAGAAAGAACUAGCCUAAUUUGGAAUUGAGUAAACUGUGUGUGGUGAAAUAGAGAAGAAAAGGCAGGACUGAGGCAUGUGUGUGCAUUACCAACCUUAGAGGAAAGAAAAGAGCAGCUGGGAAAAAUAUGUUGGUAAGACAGAUCACUAUAUAUGUCACCAGAUGGUAGCUAGCACCAAUAGAGCACUGCUUUUGUGUUCUCAGAAUAAGGACAGAAGGAGAAGAGGUAAAUGACAAAGCAUCAGAGUAAGUGGAAUCAACUGUUUUGGUGCUGAUAUUGCCAUUUAUAAUCCAGGCUUCUCCAUAUAGAAAGUUGGCCUUGAUGCUGUCAAAUCUCCCUUAUUCUCUUCACUCACUGGUACUAAGCCCCUCACAACCUAAUCUUACCCUAGGUUAAAAUUAACCUAAGCUAAUCUUAAAUCCACCCGCCCUCCCCCAACCAAAUUCUUAAAAUCUUGAGAAAAUACAAAGAACCCUUUCACUGAGUUCCAUGAAGAUACCAACUCCCAGUAGAACUCACAUCUAAAUUGACAUCAAGUCCUAAGCUAGUUCUGGCCAUAAUGGAAUUACAGGGACCAUAGUUAACUCUCACCUUAGGAAAUUAGAAAACAUAAUAAAAGUUUUUAGACAUUGGACAACAGGCAGCCUAGGGUUAUGACUUAGGAGAGAAGAGAAGUAAAUGAAUUGAUCACUACAAUUUCCCCAGCUUACAACCUGGAGGCAGUUUCAGGACUUAACACAGAGAGAAGAAAGCCAAACAGAGCCCUGAAGACAAGCUGAGUUGAGGAGGCAGAGAAGGAGGCUAGAAUUUAUAGGGCAGAGUAUCAGAAAGGAGGGAACUACACAGAGAGUGAAUCAGUUAUCUAUUGCUACAUAACAACCUUAGCAGUUUAAAACAACAAACAAUUUAUCAUCUGACAUAGUUUCUGAGAGUCAGGAAUCGAAGCCUGGAUAAGCCCAGGUAUUUCUGAUUAAGGCUGUCUCUCAAGUUUGCAGUCAAACUCUUGGCCAGAGCUAUAAUUUCAGCAGACUUAACUGGAAGAAGAGGUUCUGCUUUCAAACUCACUUGGUUAUUGACAGGAAGCUCAGCAUCUUGCUACACAGGUUUUCCCAUAGGGGCUGCUCAUUACAUGCAUUCCCCCAGAACAAGUGAUCUGAGAGAGAGAGCACCCAAAAUAUAGCCAUGGUCUUUUUAAACCUAAUCUUGAAAGUGACAUACCACCACUUCUAUCAUAUUCUCAUCAUAAAAAACAAGUCACUAAGUCCAGCCAACAUUCAAAUGGGGAAAUAUCAAAGAAUUUGUGGACAUAUUUUUAAAACCAUCAUUGUCUGCCUUGACCAUAAAUUACUAGAGAACUUCAAAAAGUAUGUGGAAAAUGGAAGUAAAAGGCAAAAAUAAAAAAAAUAUAAACUUUAUUUCUCAACAUAAGCUCCAUCAAGUUCAAGACACUUUUGUAAGCCAUGAUACUAGCCUCUUACCCCAUCCCUGAAGAACUGAAAGCUGUGGGGUAUUUACCCAUGUCAAUGCAGUCUUUUUUACAUUAUUAACUGAAGGAAAUUGAAUGCCUUUUGAAGAUUAAGGUUAGAAAAUAAAGUCAGAAGAAGCCAAAUCAGGACUUGUAAGGUGGAUACCUAAUGAUUUCUCAUCAAAACUCUCACAAAAUUGCCCUUGUUUGAUGAGAGGACUGAGCAGGAGCAUUGUCAUUUGGAGAAGGACUCUGGUGAAGCUUUCCCAGAGAUUUUCUGCUAAAGCUUUAGCUAGCUUUCUCAAAGUACCCUUAUAAUAAGCAGAUGUUAUUAUUCUUUGGCCCUCCAGAAAGUCAACAAGCAAAAUUCCUUGAGCAUCUCAAAAACUGUUGCCAUGACCUUUGCUCUUAAUUGGUCUGCUUUUGCUUUGAAUGGACCACUUCCCCCUCUUGGUAGCCAUUGCUUUGAUUGUGCUUUGUCUUCAGGAUUUUACUGGGGAAGCCACAUUCCAUUUCCUUUUGCAAUUCAUCAAAGAAAUGCUUCAGUGUUUUGGUACCACUGAUUUAAAAUUUCCAUUGAAAGCCCUGCUAUUGUUUGUAGCUGAGCUGGGUGCAAUGGUUUUGGCAGCCAUCAGGUGGAAAGUUUGAUCAAUUUUAAUUUGUUUGGUCAGGAUAAUGUAAAUUGAACCAAUUGAGAUGUCUCUAAUAUUCGCUAUGACAAAGAGAGGAAGGGAGAAUUCUGGAUGUUUUCUGGAAGAACUUUGAAUUAAUUGUCUAUGUUCUGAUUUCUACAUGUAUGUGAAGAAACCACCUACAGCAUAGGGUGAGUGGUGGGACGGGGAGGCAUAAAGCGUUAAAGGCCAAAGAAUACUCCAAAUGUGAUGAGUUCCAACUGGCUAGAGUGGAAGGUCAUCAUAAUACAAGGGGUACUAGAUAAUGUUCUUAGAAAAGCAUCUGCUUAGUAAUAAAAUUAAAUUAGCCUUGUAAUUAAGGUUUCAUGUGGGCCUAUCUCAACAAGGCUUAAAAGAUAGCUGCAAAAUGGUUCAUCUGUUUCCUAGUAAUUUAAUUUCCUGCUAGAACAAGGUCCAUUUUACUUAAUAAUUAUUAUUAUAUAUAUAGAUAUAUACUUUUUCAUUUAGACAGGGUCUCACUUCAUUGCCCAGGCUGGAGUGCAGUGGCUCAAUCAUGGCUCACUGCAAUCUUGACCUCCUGGGCUUAAGCAGUCCCUUCACCUCAGCAUCCUGAGUAGCUGGGACUACAGGCAUACACCACCAUGCCUGAUUAAUUUUUGUAUUUUUGGUAGAGAUGGAGUUUUGCCAUGUUGCCCAGGUCGGUCUCAAACUCCUGGACUCAAGCAAUCCACCUGUCUCAGCCUCCCAAAGGGCUAGGGUACAGGCAUGCGACACCGCACUUGGCUAGGAAUAAUAAUAUUUUAAAACAACAACAACAACAAUGUAAAGUUUUCAUUCUCUGGAAAUCCAAUUAUAAAUUCCAAGCAUGGGAAAAAAAUGACUCAUAACAAGGAGAAAAGUCACUUAGUAAAAACAGAUCCAGACAUGACAGAAGUAAUAAAAUAAGCCAACAAAAACAUUAAACAGCUAUUACAGAUAUGCUGUAAAUGUAUAUGAAGAUAGAGGAAAGCAUGAACCUGAUCAAGAGUGACAUAAAAAGACCCAAUUUGAAAUUAUAGAGAUGGAAAAUACAAUAUUUUACAUGAAAAAUGUACUGGGUGGUAUUGACAGCAGAUUAGAUACUGCCAAAAAAAGUAUCUGUGAACUUGAAGACAUAGCAAAAGAAACUAACUAUCCAAAGUGAAGCACAGAAAGAAAAAGAUAAGAGUUGACUUGAGUGUUGGUGAACUGUGGGAUAAUAACGAGAUAUCUAAUAUAUAAGUACUUGGAGUUUUAGAAGAAGAGGAGAAAUGGAAAUGGGAAGAGAAACUAUUUGAAAAAAUAAUGGCUGAAAAUUUUCCAAAUUUGAUGAAAACUAUAAUGUAUACAUGCAAGCAUAACAUACUUAAUAAAACUUUGCCAAGGCAUAUCUUAAGCAAAUUGCUAAAAACAGAAAGGAAAUAGAAAAUGUGAAAAGCAGCCAGAGGAAAAAGACAGAUUAUCUAUAGAAACAAAGUUAAGAAUGACAGCAAACUUCUCCUCAAAACUUAUGCAAACAAGAAGACAUAUACAGUCAUGUACCUCAUAUAAGCAUAUUUUAGUCAACAGCAGAACACAUAUAUGACAGUGGUCCCAUAAUAUUAUAUCAUAUUUUUAAUUCACCUUUCUCUGUAGGUAUGUUUAGAUAAACAAAUACUUAGGAUUAUUUUACAAUUGCCUACAGCGUUUAGUAUAGUAAUAUGCUGUACAGGUUUAUAGCAAAGGAGAUAUAGGCUAUACCAUACAGCCUAAGUGUGUCAUAGAAUACAUCAUGUAGGUUUGUAUAAGAACACUCUAUGAUGUUUAAACAGCAAUUAAAUUACCUAAUGAUGCAUUUCUCAAAAUGUAUCCUCUGCUGGGUGCCAUGACUCAUCCCUGUAAUCCCAGCAAUUUGAGAGGCCAAGAUGGGUGGAUCACCUGAGGUCAGGAGUUCAAGACCAGCCUGGCCAACAUGGUGAAACCACGUCUCUACUAAAAAUAUAAAAAAUUAGCCAGACAUGGUGGCGGGUGCCUGUAAUUCCAGCUACUUGGGAGGUGGAGGCAGGAGAAUCGCUUGAACCUAGGAGGCAGAGCUUUCGGUGAGCUGACAUCACGCCAUUGCACUCCAGCCUGGACAACAAGAGCCAAACUUCAUUUCAAAAAAUAAAUAAAUAAAAAUGUAAUUUUUCAUCAAUAAGUGUUGCAUGACUGUAUGUAGAUAUUCUCAAUAAAAUCCUUUAACAGAUACAUAGUUUGUAAAUAUUUUGUCCUAGUUUGUAGCUUGCCCUUUAUUUACUAAAUGAUAUCUUAAAGAGCAAAAGUUUUUAAUUUUGAUGAAGUCCAAUUUAUUAAUUUGUCCUUUAUAGAAUGUCUUUCUGGUUUUCUAAGAAGUGUUUCCUAAGCCAAGAUCAAAUCCUUUUCUCCUACUUUUUUUCUAGAUCUAAAAUUUUUACUCUUAAUUUUAGGACUAUUAUCCAUUUUGACCUAAUUUUGAUAAAUGAGGUAGGAUAAGCAUCAAGGUUCAUAUUUUUGUAUAUAGAUAGCCAACAUUAUUAGUAACUAGGACAAUGCACGUUAAGUGCAAAUUGAACCCACAAGGAGACAACACUACACACCUAUUAGAGUGAAUAAAAAUUAUCUACAUUACCAAAUGUUUGCAAGGGUGUGGAACACCUGAAACUCUCAUGCAUUGUUCAUGUGAAAGCAUUAGCAUAGACACUUUGGAAAACAGUUUGACAGAUUCUUAUGAUUCUUAAAUAUACAUUUACCCAACAACUCACCAACACAAUUCCUAGAUAUUUACCCAAGAAAAAUUAAUGUAGGUAUACACAAGACUUUCAUGUGAAUUUUAUGUCAGCUUUAUUUAUAAUGGCCCCAAACUAAAAACCUAUAUGUCAAUCAACUGAUGAAUAGAUAGACAAAUUGUAGUAGAUUGCAGAACAUAAGUCAGCAAUGAAAAGAAAAGAACCAUUGAUGCAUGCAAAAAUGGAUGAAUUGCAAAAGCAUUAUUCUAAGUGAAAGAAGCUUCCCUUUAUAUGAAAGUGGAGAAAAGAUAAUACUGAAGUAAUUAAAGCAGUUCAGUCCCAGGAGCUAGGGAUGGUCUUGGGGGCAAAGAGGGAAAAGGGCUAUGAGGGAACUAUUUUAGGUGAUAAAAAUCUUCUUUAUCACAAUUAAGGUACUCAUUACACAACUGUAUAUAUUUUUCACAAAUCAUUCAAAUAGUACACUUCACAAUGGUUAAAUGUUUUGUAUAUAAAUUAUAUCUCGAUGACUCUAUUUACAGAAAGACUUAAGCUAAAUAUGUGACACUCUCAGUGUUUCAUUUUUAGCCAUUAGUGACUAAAUGUUAAGGGAAUAGGGACCUUCCUCAAGAUUCCACAGGUAAGUGAGAGUCACUAUCAUCCACCCAAAUGCUCGAACCAUGAACCUAAGAAGCCGUCCUUGACUCAUGCUUUUUUUUUUUUUUUUUUUUUUUUUGAGACGGAGUCUCACUCUGUUGCUUAGGCUGGAGUACAGUGGCGCAAUCUUGGCUCACUGCAACCUCCACCUCCUGGGUUCAAGCAAUUCUCUGCCUCAGCCUCCUGCGUAGCUGGGAUUACAGGUGCCCACCACCACACCAGGCUAAUUUUUGUAUUUUUAGUAAAGAUGGGGUUUCACCAUCUUGGCCGGGCUUGUCUUAAACUCCUGACCUCAGGUGAUCCACCUGCUUUGGCCUCCCAAAGUGCUGGGAUUACAGGCGUGAGCCACUGCACCCGGCCAACUCAUGCAUCUUUUUAUCACUCACAUCCAACCAGUCAAGUCAUGGGUUUUUUUUUUUUUUUUUUUUUUUUAAGUUCUGGGAUUCAUGUGUGGAAUGUGUAGGUUUGUUACUUAGGUUUACGUGUGCCAUUGUGGUUUGCUGCACCUAUCAACCCAUCAUCUAGGGUUUAAGCUCCGCAUGCAUUAGAUAUUUUUCCUAAUGCUCUCCCCUUGCCCCCCAACCCACAACUGGCCCGAUGUGAAUUGUUCCCCUCCCUGUGUCCGUGUGUUCUCUUUUUCUUUUCUUUAGCUCCUAAAUUCCUCACCUCUCUCUAGUGCUUCUAGCACUAAGCUGAUGCAGUCAUCUUUCCGUGGUACCACUGCAACACUUUGUUAACCUUUCUCCUGCUUCCACUUUGCUCUACCACAUUCCAAUCUUUACUCUGUGGCCACAGUGAUCAUUUAAAAUGAAAAUAAUAUCCUCUGAUUAAAAUCCUCCAGUCAUUCUCUAGUUACUCUCAGGACAAAAUUCAAACUCCUUAACAAAAUCUAAAGGCCCUGCGUGAUCCCAGUCCUUUCGUAUUUUCAGUCCCAUCACAUUCUAUUCUUCCCUUUUGGAUUUUUCUAAAUUCUUAUAGCAUACUAUAGUUUUUCCUGUCUCUGUGUAUACAUUACCAUUUCCUCUAAUGGAAACAUGUCCCUUCUCAUCCUGUAGAUUAACAAUGACAACUCCUCCUUAUUCUUCACAUACCUUUCUUCUUCGCAAGCAUCAGAAGUACCAAGUUAGGUCUCAUUGCUGCUUUAUGUCAUUAUAGCACGUGGUGUUUCUAUUCAGUCUUCACUGAUAUAGCAUCUAUUUAUAUUAGGCUGGUGCAAAUGGCACCAAAUGGCAAAAACUGCAAUUACAUUUGCACCAACCUAAUAAUUGUCAUUUCAAUAUAUGACUUUGUCCUACCCCCUCACCAUCCCAAAAUUCUGCUCCCUAGAUGCAAUCACUGUUUUGUGCCUUCCAGACUAUUAUGAAAGAAAAAUGUAUUGACGAGUGUCAGCAUAAUAAUAUAUGACACACAAAAUUAAAAGAUAGAAAUAUAUAUAGGCUUCCCUCUCUUUUGCCUUCUAAUGGACAUGUUAAAUCCCCC